AUGAAUCCGCGAGCCCCUGGGUGGAAUAAGAGGUUGAGGAUUGGAGCUGCAGCACCGAGCAGGCCACCGUGUCCAAACCGCAUCAGUGCGUUCGAGAAGGCAGUACGGAGGUUUGCUGAGAAUCCAACGGAGAAUGUUAUCACGCCAGUUAUCGGCACAACGUUCGACUCGGUGGAUCAGGCAUACGACUUCUACAAUUUGUACUCCUGGGAGAAGGGAUUUGGCAUUCGUUAUGGCAAAAGCAGGUUAAAUGUGGAGAGGACCAAAUGCAUGCAGGAAAUAGUUUGUGGUUGCUCGGGAAAAGCUGGGGUUGAGAACACGAGAUCUUGUCACUGUGAGUGUCCUGCUCUAAUUAGGCUGCUACGAGCAGAGGACAACGGAUGGUAUAUAGCGAAGCAUAGGGAUACGCACAACCACUCGUUGUCGCCUAAUUUUGGUGAGACAAUCCACUGGCCAUCUCACAAGCAUAUAGAUGUGUACAUCAGAGAUCUUGUGAAGUAG
rnacentral:rRNA from 1 species